ACUUUACAAUGCAGGCAACUGUGAUAAGGGAACCCCGAGUGCCCGUAUGGACGGGCUGUUCAGGUGCUUAAAAACCACCUGGAGAAAGGGCCGGGCAAGACCGGUGCCAGCCGCCGCGGUAAUACCGGCGGCUCGAGUGGUGGCCACUAUUACUGGGCUUAAAGCGUCCGUAGCUUGGUCGUUAAGCCUCUGGGGAAAUCUUCCGGCUCAACCGGAAGGCGUCUCAGGGGAACUGGCGGCCUAGGGAUCGGGAGAGGUGAGAGAUACUCUGGGGGUAGGAGUGAAAUCCUGUAAUCCUCAGGGGACCACCUGUGGCGAAGGCGUCUCACCAGAACGACUCCGACAGUGAGGGACGAAAGCUGGGGGAGCAAACC
rnacentral:rRNA from 1 species